rnacentral:rRNA from 1 species
AAUGAACGCUGGCGGCGUGCUUUACACAUGCAAGUCGAGCGAGGCGGGUAGCAAUAUCUAGUCGAGCGGCGGACGGGUGAGUAACGCGUGGAUAAUCUACCUUUUGGUGGGGGAUAACCCGGGGAAACUCGAGCUAAUACCGCAUGAGAUCGAAAGAUGAAAGGGGCGCAAGUCCCGCCGGAAGAGGAGUCCGCGUCCGAUUAGCUAGUUGGUAGGGUAAUGGCCUACCAAGGCGACGAUCGGUAGCCGGCCUGAGAGGGUGAUCGGCCACACUGGAACUGAGACACGGUCCAGACUCCUACGGGAGGCAGCAGUGGGGAAUUUUGCGCAAUGGGCGAAAGCCUGACGCAGCAACGCCGCGUGGAGGAUGAAGGUCUUUUGGGAUUGUAAACUCCUGUCAGCAGGGAAGGAGGCCUCGGCGCAGAGCCGAGGAUUGACGGUACCUGCAGA